AACGAACGCUGGCGGCAUGCCUAAUACAUGCAAGUCGAACGAGACCUUCGGGUCUAGUGGCGCACGGGUGCGUAACGCGUGGGAACCUGCCCUUAGGUUCGGAAUAACUCCCCGAAAGGGGUGCUAAUACCGGAUAAUGUCUUCGGACCAAAGAUUUAUCGCCUUUGGAUGGGCCCGCGUUGGAUUAGCUAGUUGGUAGGGUAAAAGCCUACCACGGCGACGAUCCAUAGCUGGUCUGAGAGGAUGAUCAGCCACACUGGGACUGAGACGCGGCCCAGACUCCUACGCGAGGCAGCAGUGGGGAAUAGUGGACAAUGGGGGAAAGCCUGAUCCAGCAAUGCCGCGUGAGUGAUGAAGGCCGUAGGGUUGUAAAGCGCUUUUACCCGUGAUGAUAAUGACAGUACCGGGAGAAUAAGCUCCGGCUAACUCCGUG
rnacentral:rRNA from 1 species